UACAGAGGUCUCAAGCGUUGUUCGGAUUCAUUGGGCGUAAAGGGUGCGUAGGCGGCGCGGUAAGUCGGGUGUGAAAUCUCGGAGCUUAACUCCGAAACUGCAUUCGAUACCGCCGUGCUUGAGGACUGGAGAGGAGACUGGAAUUUACGGUGUAGCGGUGAAAUGCGUAGAUAUCGUAAGGAAGACCAGUGGCGAAGGCGGGUCUCUGGACAGGUCCUGACGCUGAGGCACGAAGGUCAGGGGAGCAAACGGG
rnacentral:rRNA from 1 species